AGUGAACGCUGGCGGUAGGCCUAACACAUGCAAGUCGAACGGCAGCACAGUAAGAGCUUGCUCUUACGGGUGGCGAGUGGCGGACGGGUGAGGAAUACAUCGGAAUCUACUUUUUCGUGGGGGAUAACGUAGGGAAACUUACGCUAAUACCGCAUACGACCUACGGGUGAAAGCAGGGGAUCUUCGGACCUUGCGCGAUUGAAUGAGCCGAUGUCGGAUUAGCUAGUUGGCGUGGUAAAGGCCCACCAAGGCGACGAUCCGUAGCUGGUCUGAGAGGAUGAUCAGCCACACUGGAGCUGAGACACGGACCAUAAUCCUACGGGAGGCAGCAGUAGGGAAUAUUGGACAAUGGGCGCAAGCCUGAUCCAGCCGUACCGCGUGUGUGAAGAAGGCCUUCGGGUUGUAAAGCCCUUUUGUCGGGAAAGAAGAGCAGCAGGUUAAUACCCCGCUGUUCUGACGGUACCCAAAGAAUAAGCACCGGCUAACUUCGUG
rnacentral:rRNA from 1 species